rnacentral:rRNA from 1 species
UAGUCCACGCCCUAAACGAUGAUAACUAGCCGUUGGCCCUUCGGGGCUAGUGGCGAAGCUAACGCGCUAAGUUAUCCGCCUGGGGAGUACGGCCGCAAGGUUAAAACUCAAAGAAAUUGACGGGGACCCGCACAAGCGGUGGCGCAUGUGGUUUAAUUCGAUGAUACGCGAGGAACCUUACCCAGGCUCUAAUGCUAUGCGCUACAGGGUGAAAGCCUUGGUUCCUUCGGGACGCAUAGCAAGGUGCUGCAUGGUUGUCGUCAGCUCGUGCCGUGAGGUGUUGGGUUAAGUCCCGCAACGAGCGCAACCCCUAUUUUCAGUUGCCAGCACAUAAUGGUGGGGACUCUGGAGAGACUGCCGGCGCAAGCCGCGAGGAAGGUGGGGACGACGUCAAAUCAUCAUGGCCUUUAUGCCUGGGGCUACACACGUGCUACAAUGGUAGAUACAGAGGGCAGCCAAACCGCGAGGUUGAGCAAAUCCCUUAAAGUCUAUCCCAGUUCGGAUUGG